rnacentral:rRNA from 1 species
CAGUCGACGGCAGCACAGUGUAGCAAUACAUGGGUGGCGAGUGGCGCACGGGUGCGUAACACGUAUGCAAUUUGCCCAUAACUGGGGGAUAGCCCUCCGAAAGGAGGAUUAAUACCCCAUAACCCAGCGAGGUGGCAUCACCUUUCUGGUAAAUCUCCGGAGGUUAUGGAUGAGCAUGCGUCUGAUUAGCUAGUUGGUGAGGUAACGGCUCACCAAGGCAACGAUCAGUAGGGGGUCUGAGAGGAUGAUCCCCCACACGGGUACUGAGACACGGACCCGACUCCUACGGGAGGCAGCAGUAAGGAAUAUUGGACAAUGGAGGCAACUCUGAUCCAGCCAUGCCGCGUGAAGGAUGAAGGCCCUACGGGUUGUAAACUUCUUUUCUCUUAGAAAAAACUACUGGUUUCGUACCGGUACUGAUUGUACAAGAGGAAUAAGCAUCGGCUAACUUCGUGCCAGCAGCCGCGGUAAUACGAAGGAUGCAAGCGUUAUCCGGAUUCACUGGGUUUAAAGGGUGUGCAGGUGGGGUAAUAAGUCGGUGGUGAAAGCCCCCGACUCAAUCGGGGAACUGCCAUAGAUACUGUUAUUCUUGAGUGUGGUUGAGGCGGAUGGAGUAUGACAUGUAGCGGUGAAAUGCUU